GACGAACGCUGGCGGCGUGCUUAACACAUGCAAGUCGAACGCUGAAGCUCAGCUUUUGUUGGGUGGAUGAGUGGCGAACGGGUGAGUAACACGUGAGUAACCUGCCUCCUUCUUUGGGAUAACGCCCGGAAACGGGUGCUAAUACUGGAUAUUCACUGGUCUUCGCAUGGGGGUUGGUGGAAAGGGUUUUUCUGGUGGGGGAUGGGCUCGCGGCCUAUCAGCUUGUUGGUGGGGUGAUGGCCUACCAAGGCUUUGACGGGUAGCCGGCCUGAGAGGGUGACCGGUCACAUUGGGACUGAGAUACGGCCCAGACUCCACGGGAGGCAGCAGUGGGGAAUAUUGCACAAUGGGCGCAAGCCUGAUGCAGCGACGCCGCGUAAGGGAUGGAGGCCUUCGGGUUGUGAACCUCUUUCGCUCAUGGUCAAGCCGCAACAAUGGUUGUGGUGAGGGUAGUGGGUAAAGAAGCGCCGGCUAACUACGUG
rnacentral:rRNA from 1 species